AAGAGGUUACCUCUAAGCUCCUGUAUGGUUUUGGUACUGGAGGAGAUGUUCUGCUGCAGUUUUCCCUGGAAAACAAACAUGAACAUUAAUAACAAAAAAUAUACUAAUGGGUAAAAGGUAAUUAUUUAGCCUGUACCAUUUCCUGGCUGCAGGUGUCCUGCACUCCUUCCAGCUGCUUCUUGUAGAGAAUUUCAAGGCGACUGAUCUGAUCCUUCUGCCGCUCAAUCUCCUCAUGGUACUCGCUCUUCUUUAACUCGGCCGCCCCGCGCUCCGCAGCUCCGCGCCGCACCUGGCCCUCCAGCUCGUACAGCUUAGUCUGUCAUAUAAACAUUUUUUUGAAGAAGUAAGGUAUUUUUUUUUAGAAACUAUAACAAGGAUGCCUUUUAUUUUUACAAAUACAAUUUUACAAUUAUAAAAUAAUAAUUGUAUUGAACCACCACAUUAUAUAUUUUUCCUCAAAUAAAAGCACAUGCUCGGAAUACGCUGAUAAUUGCCUUGCAACACAGCCUAUGUCUUAGAGCAUCCCCCGCCCACUUUCCUUCACACUGUGCUGGUGUGCCAAAGCCAAAACAUGACCACUGUGUGGAACUUACCUGCCGUUUGUGAGAGUGACAUAAAUUUUGCACCCUGCAAAACAUGCCACGAAAAAUAUCUAAUCUUUUUAAUUUAAUCUAACAUUUGAAGAACAGACACUAUGGUGAGUUUUCAAGGCUCAAGGUGCAACAUCAGUCAAACGGCAGCUACAGUAGCGCAGGCAAAACCCUGGACAACACUCGCCCGUAUGUGCGUGACAGUCAACUGAAUUAAUAGGGCUAAAUAACUAUCCUCUCUCAGCGGAGGAAGACACCGGGUUCACCGACUGCUCUCUCAUUUGGAGCCCACCUAUGUGCUACCUGGACAUCCUGCAAGAGCUCCAUCAGACAAUCUACUCUCACAUCCAAGUCUCCUUUAAGAAUGCGUCUCAUCCUCUGUAAAUUACACAAGUGAUAAAUGUUCUCUUGAAAAAAUAAGUAAAAUAUGAUUUUGUCUAAAUUAAGGAGAGUUUAUGGCUCCUUUUGUCAAACCACAUAGCCAAUAGCAGCGAUAUUUACGAUAUAAUGCAAUCUGUAUUUAUCAGUUUGUUUAAGGUUCCACAUUCUCUUCCAACCCAUUCAUUUAAGAAUCGAUACAGUAUUAUUCUUCACUUCUUUAUUGUGUUGUUUGGUACAUCAUGUCAUGCUGUUUCUCUCUUAUUUCGUUCAACCUGACUUCUGUGGCUUUUUUUUGUGUGACCAGUGACUGCUUGGGAUGAUAGCCAUAAAACCAGAAACGUAACUUAUUGUGACACAGGAAAGGUACAGUAUCUGCAACACAGUUAGUUAAAUAUCUGUUUCUUAAAAAGACAAAUAGCAUUGAUUUUUGUAAGCUUUAUUUUGUUUGGUGAACUUAUUUUUACCCUUUUUAAAACCCUAUAAGCUGUUGCUCAAAACAUGCACACCUAACAAAUACUGUAGACAGGGAAGUCGGGUGCCACCUUGGAGGAUGUGAUGAGACAAACCUACCUGUAGUUCCAGGUUGCGGGAGCUGGACACCCAGUAGUUGAAGCCCAAGACGAUGAUGCAGGCGACAAGGGCACCGAUCAUUAAAGGCGGAGAUCUUCCUCCACGCCGCCCGUUAACCAGGCCACCCAUUCUUGUCUACUCUUCUGUUAAACACACACACCAGUGAGAAGUGUAACCAGCUCUGCUCCUGCCUGUGGCCCCGUAUCGCUCGUUGCUCACCUGACAACGCAAAACAAUGACUACAACCAUCUGGAUGAAGAAAGCAAAGAGGGAAAGGACAGGACGUGUGCUGAAGAAGGUGCACUCGGACCAGACAACUGCUACCGAGAGGAAGCACAGCAGCGCUGCCAGCAGCCUGUAGAGAACUUGCCUGAACACACACUCCCAGUACCACUCUGGCCACCACACACACACACACACACACACACACAAAAUGAGGACUCUGUAUGUGAGUGACAGGAGGAAAAGCACUGACUCGCUUGGGGGAAACUCACUUGGUGCCAGUUGCUGGUUUGCAUAUCAUCCUUUAUUAAUAUUAAUAAAUGUAAUAUUUUCAUAGUUAAGAGCAUAUAAAACCUGUUUACGACCUACACAAGUUUUUUUUUUUUUUUUUUACAUCAUUAUUAGAGCCCUGUAGACAUGAAAUAACACCCCUAUAGUC